rnacentral:rRNA from 1 species
CCAUGAAGCUGGAUUCGCUAGUAAUCGCGCAUCAGCCACGGCGCGGUGAAUACGUUCCCGGGCCUUGUACACACCGCCCGUCAAGCCAUGGAAGCCGGGGGUGCCUGAAGUGCGCUGCCGCAAGGAGCGCCCUAGGGUAAAACCGGUGACUGGGGCUAAGUCGUAACAAGGUACC